UACAGAGACUGCAAGCGUUGUUCGGAUUCACUGGGCGUAAAGGGCGCGUAGGCGGCUUUAUAAGUCGGGGGUGAAAGCCUGUGGCUCAACCACAGAAUUGCCUUCGAUACUGUAGAGCUUGAGACCGGAAGAGGUAAGUGGAACUGCGAGUGUAGAGGUGAAAUUCGUAGAUAUUCGCAAGAACACCAGUGGCGAAGGCGGCUUACUGGUCCGGUUCUGACGCUGAGGCGCGAAAGCGUGGGGAGCAAACAGG
rnacentral:rRNA from 1 species